rnacentral:lncRNA from 10 species
CAACGAUCCCAUCUCCAUCUCCAUCAGUCACUGGAGCUGUGAGGCACAAAGAGAGGGGAUGGCUGCUGGUGGCUCUCCAGUUGCUCAUCUCAGUGCAUACAAUGCUGUCUCCAGAGAAACAACCAGUAUGUGUGGCAGGGAGCAGGCUAGUCAAGGCCAGUGGUGCUGUGCUGAUAUGAAGAAGAUGGAGCUAGGUCAGCAGAGGGGACAGCGGGGAUGUCUGGAAGAGUUCUUCCGGUUGCUUCUAUUCCCCUUGUGUAAAGGGGAGCCAGCCAUCAUUUGCUGAGAGUGAGGAAGGGAAAGAUGUGGAAAGUCUGGGAAAGAAAAGGUAUGGCACGGUUAUCCAGGAACUCAGCUUCCAGAGGCUCUCCUGAGUCUCUAAUGCUUGAGCUGGACGUAGAUGGAUAAAUGGAGUUUGCUAGAUUAAAAAAAGGUAGAGCAGUCUGUGCAAAGGGAAUAGCAUAGCAA